rnacentral:piRNA from 1 species
AGGAUUUACAACCUCAUGCCAGUGUACCAGU